rnacentral:lncRNA from 1 species
CUCCCUUCCCCCAGGUAUAAGAGCCCAGCUGAGGUGAGCUGGCUCCUCCCGUCCAGUCUCAGCGGCUGCCAGCAGGUAAGGAAACCCAGGGCUUUUCUCCUGUACAGGGAGCACCCUGGGCCUCUCUUGCCUGAGUCUUCCAAGGGAGAGCUGGGGACUGGGUCCGGGAGCUCACGCGUUUUGCGCAGAAGUGGGUGGCUGGAGGUGUGAGACUGAGGUGAGACCCUCUAAAUGGGUCGGCUUGGGCACUGUGGCCUUAUCUCCUGGGCCUUGGGCAGGGACUGGGUCUGUGUGGGGUUGCCUCUGACCCCUGGGGUGAGGCAGAAGAUCUUGGGUGGAGCCAAAAGGGGUCAUUGAGACAGAAAGCAGAAGUGUCCCUCACCUCAGGGCCCCUUUCUCCAGGCAGAUCAUGAUCCAUCGGUUCUGCUGGGUCAGGCUAUAGGACGACAAGACCCACCAAGGGACCAAGUGCUCCAGGCACCAUGGGACAGUGUCGGUCAGCCAAUGCUGAGGUGGGACCGUCGCUCUUUGGCCUGUUUCCCUGUUCUUUUCCACCCCUGGGAUCUGUGUUCCCCUCUGACUUCUGCCCCUCACCUUGGCCUGGCCCUACACCCAGACCUCGGCAGUGAGGCCUGAGAUCCCUCCCUGAACCCCACACAAGGUGAUCGGAUGGACUCCUCCUGGGAAGAGGAUGUCUGCACACGUGCUGGGACCUGUCCUGCCUGGGGAUGGGGGGGCGGGGAGGAAAGUCUUGCCCAACCGGUGGGUAAGGGCAGAAGCUGCUGGGGGCUGGGGUGCAGGUGAGGGAGAGGGACUGGGUCCUGGGCUCUGGAGUGGGCAGGGCCACUCCAGCUGUCUUCUGCCCUGCUGGCUUUACCCAGGCUCCCGGGGAUCAGGAGCCUCCCUGAUGCGCUUAAUGUCUGCUGCCCUCAGGACGCCCAGGAAUUCAGUGAUGUGGAGAGGGCCAUUGAGACCCUCAUCAAGAACUUCCACCAGUACUCGGUGGAGGGCGGGAAGGAGACACUGACCUCCUCUGAGCUGCGGGACCUGGUCACCCAACAGCUGCCACACCUCAUGCCGGUACUGAGGGGAUGGACCCCACCCUAGUCAGUCCCCUGACUUCCCAAGCAAGUGCCUCCCGACCCCACCCACACGGGCACUGGCAACCCCUAGAUUCCCCCUUGCCAGUGCCAGGCAGGCUCAGGCCCUGCUGUUUGCCCCUGGGCAGGGCGGGGUGGGAAGAUCUCAGGCACUGUCUCGCUGAGCUGUGGCUUCUUCCCUCUGCUCAGAGCAACUGUGGGCUGGAAGAGAAGAUUGCCAACCUGGGCAACUGUAACGACUCUAAACUGGAGUUCGGGAGCUUCUGGGAGCUCAUUGGAGAAGCCGCCAAGAGUGUGAAGCUGGAGAGCCCUGUCCCAAGGAGCUGAGGACUUCUCCCUGGAAUCUCUUAGGGGGAAUAUGGGGGGGGGGAAGGGGACCUUAAAGACCGUGGGCCUGGAAAUAAAACUUCUCUCCAUCACCCCCACCCUGUUCCCCAGCCUGUACCUUUCCUCAUCUCUGCCAAGUUCAGGUUCAUAAUAGCCCUCUCCAGGGUCUCUGAAUACCUCCUUCCCGUGCUCUGUGGAGAUGACGGGACCCAGAGACCCCGCCGGAGGGAAGCUCAGUCAGGGAGCAGGUUGGGACCAGGGAGGACAUGGAGGGGUAACAGUGGUGUAAGAGCCGAGUGAUUUGAUGGUGGGGAAAGGGCAGAGAAGCUGGGCUAUGGGAAAUGAUUUGAAGAAUGGAGCUGGGGAUACGGCUGGGUAUGGUACCAAAAAGGAUCUCUGAGAACCUGCCCCUCUCCAUCUCCAAACUAAAUUGUAGCUGCCUGUCCCAGGCUAUCCCUUCCAGCCUCCAGCCCUGCCCCACCCUCCUCCCAAGACUCUGUCCCAGGGCUAGGGUAGGGGAGGAGGGAGAGCGUUGAGGAAGAGGCUGGGAGGGUGUGACUGUGGGGAGAGGAGCAGCCGGGGGCGUGGGCAUUUACAGAAUGAUGGUUGUUUGGUAUCAUUUGAUU